CUGCAGGGAAACUUCAUUAAUUCACCACCAUCGCAUUUGAAGACCUUUAGCAUAAAGAUUUUGCCUUACCUACCCAUAAAGUGAAUUAGUGUUUGCUUACUGCAAAACCAUCUCCUAGUUUCUAAGACGGCACGCUUUAAUUCCCUCUCUCAAAUAAAACUAAUCUCUUGCAGAGAUAACAAGUGCAAAAACGGACUAGUUAUUGCUCGACUUAACGUAUGAAUGACAUAAAAUGGGAGUCGAUCUGUUAAAGAGAAGGACUUCAUCACCUCAAGUUAUUUACCAUCAAUAGCAGCAUUUAUUGCAAUUUAUUUGAUGAAGUCUGCUAUAGAAACCCCACUCGACUGGAUCACUUACUGGAAUGAAACGCAGUGGCUUUUCCAGACUACAGUGUCAUUUUUGAAGGAGGAUGGCUCCAUGUUUCUUAUCCAAAGCCAGUGAAAUGUCUGGAGAAGACUUAUCUCCAUGAGUAAAGGCGUACGCAUUUUGUUAAUAAUGGUAACACCACCAAUUUUGGCUCAACAUCUAGUGGUCUUUGGUCCCUGAGCAUGUCUCAGGAGAUAAGAGCCAUCAAAGGUAACCACUCGUCAAAAGAUAACAUCAAAGGUACCCAAAAAAAUAAAGUAAAAUGUCAUUAAGAGAUGAAAGCAACAGCUAUAUUUUGUGGACAAGUCAUUCCAAGCUCCUGAAAUGGAGUAAUCUAAUAGCUUUUCAACUCAUUAUAUGUGGCACUCAUGCAACAUUCAAAGUAUAAAGUGUUGAAAGCGAGCCGAGCAUCACAUAAACCACUUGUUCUUGUUGUUGUACCAUUCCAAUUUCUUAUGUGGGUGUAGAGUUGCCAUCAAGCAUGGAAAGUUGUGGAUACAGAGGCUCCCAAGGUAAAGCACCAAAACCAAGAUAAAGUUUAUAUUCCCCAAGCCAAAAGGCAUCAACUCCCAACCCAAGAACUAGUAGUAAGAGAGAGAAAAUUUUAACCAUUUAUAAUAGCUGAUUGAUUACUAGAUUCCGGAGAUUGUUGCAUUAAAACCUGUGAACUCUUCAUCCUCCCAAAAGUUGUUGCAAGUGGGAUGGUUUUUCUGAGGGCAAAUGCAGCAUUAGAAAGGUUGUCAGGUGAUGGGAGUGAGAGAUGGGAUCCAAUGCAUGGCACAGCUGACGUUGGUGUUUCUGGUUAGGGGCGGGUUGUGGACACAGACAUUUGGAUGUGGCUUCCUCUUUUUCCUCCCAAGCAAACCCUAGACCUUCCCACCCUAUACACCCUAUACCUACUAACCCUGUUGGUUCUGAACACUGGACGACAGCGGCUCAAAUUGACCAUUCCCACGAGCCACAACCCAACACCACACGUGUCUCCCUAGCUAGCUUUGAUGACUCCUCUUACGCAGGAUAACCACCAUCUGACCUAAUCUUCUCUUCCUCCUCUCCUAAAUGGAGACGAUGGUGCAAUAAAACUAAGAAUCAUAUAUAUAUAUAUAUAUAUAUAUAUAUAUAUNNNNNNNNNNNNNNNNNNNNAAGAAUCAUAUAUAUAUAUAUAUAUAUAUAUAUAUAUAUCAGCGUUACUGCAUUAAUGGUAAUAACAGCUCAAAGAGAUGCCAGGGUUAGAACAAACAACGUGAGUUUGUUUUACUAGUUCGUGUGGUGCCAACUAAACCCAUCCGCUGUAAUCUUCGGAACACCAUGAGUGUAAGACAUAAGAGAACUAACGUGACAUCUUUAUAUUUAGUGACAAAACAAAGCAUAUAAUGAAUCCAAAACAUCAAAAGGGAAAAAAAAUUAAGGGAACAAUCUUUAACUUAAACCUUCAUGUUAAGGUCACUGAUAACCUAACUUAUGCAGGAAACUAUGAGAAUCCCCUAGAUUGUGGAUCUAAACUUGCAAUAUAAACCAAAUAAUGAAACAAAAGAAAACAACCAUUUCAGACAAAGAAUAAAGAGUUAUUGAUGAUGCCACGACUGUCCAUACUGAUUUCCAACAACUAAUCACACCCAUUCUUGCAGCCAAAUUGAAUAUUUCCUUCUUUUGAUGGUGCAAUGGUCGCAUAUCAUGAGAAAAGGUACUAUCAAAAGAGCGAUAAAUAAUGUAAAUGAGAAAUGGAGGGAGGGAAGAAAGCGAUCUCAUCAGACAGUAUGCCCAUACUGAGAUCUUUUAGAUCCAACAUUUCUCUCACAGAAAUCUCGUAACAUUAGAAGUAUUGAACCCAACUGCAUGCAUGCAUGUGAACUCUUUCAACAGAAUCGCAUCACAUAAUAUAUAUAAGAAUCAAAAUAAGUGGAUCAAAAUAGAAGGUCAGAGGAUACUUCCCUCUUUUCCGAUCAACACAAGGCCACCAUAAUCAUAGAAGUAUGCCGACGAUUUCUUGUUUAUAGUAAAGCCAGGAGUGGUUUCAUUAGCAGAUGAAAUUGUUGGUUUAACACUAAAAUCAUAACAUCGGAACAUCUUCCUCUACUCAAAUCUAAAAAGCAUCAGAACAAUUUACAGCAAAAUGAGCCCUUAAAAAGAGAGAACACGGCUGGAUUUCCCAGCUGCAGCUUCUGAAGUAUGCUUUUCUUAACAUCCCAUGAGUGGGAAAAAAGUAAGAAAAAUAAGUACAGAAAGUCUAAGGAAGAAAAAGAAAAAAAAGGUGAGAGAUCAACGGAGGCAAUCAACUAGAUCUCAAUAUCCUGUCAAGAAUAAGCAUGUCAACCAAGAAAGAUUGCGCUGCAUCAGCGAGAAAGGUAAAAACUAAAAUUUAAAAAAAACAUAUCAAAGAAAGAGAAGAUCCCUUGAAAAGUAAUGAUGAAAACCUUUUUUCCCGUUUCCUGUCAGACUGGAAAAGAAGGAAAGAUAGGGAACAGAAGGCAGAAGGAUAGAGCAGGAGUCAAACCCCACUAUCAUUACACCAAUCUGCAUCCCCUCUUCCUCCCUCCCUCCCAGCAAAAUCAUCCAAAAAAAAAAACCAGCAGAACAAAACAAGCAGAAGCGUUAACAAAUCCAUACUGCACAAAAAAAAAAAANAAAAAAAAAAGAAUACAAAAANNNNNNNNNNNNNNNNNNNNNNNNNNNNNNNNNNNNNNNNNNNNNNNNNNNNNNNNNNNNNNNNNNNNNNNNNNNNNNNNNNNNNNNNNNNNNNNNNNNNNNNNNNNNNNNNNNNNNNNNNNNNNNNNNNNNNNNNNNNNNNNNNNNNNNNNNNNNNNNNNNNNNNNNNNNNNNNNNNNNNNNNNNNNNNNNNNNNNNNNNNNNNNNNNNNNNNNNNNNNNNNNNNNNNNNNNNNNNNNNNNNNNNNNNNNNNNNNNNNNNNNNNNNNNNNNNNNNNNNNNNNNNNNNNNNNNNNNNNNNNNNNNNNNNNNNNNNNNNNNNNNNNNNNNNNNNNNNNNNNNNNNNNNNNNNNNNNNNNNNNNNNNNNNNNNNNNNNNNNNNNNNNNNNNNNNNNNNNNNNNNNNNNNNNNNNNNNNNNNNNNNNNNNNNNNNNNNNNNNNNNNNNNNNNNNNNNNNNNNNNNNNNNNNNNNNNNNNNNNNNNNNNNNNNNNNNNNNNNNNNNNNNNNNNNNNNNNNNNNNNNNNNNNNNNNNNNNNNNNNNNNNNNNNNNNNNNNNNNNNNNNNNNNNNNNNNNNNNNNNNNNNNNNNNNNNNNNNNNNNNNNNNNNNNNNNNNNNNNNNNNNNNNNNNNNNNNNNNNNNNNNNNNNNNNNNNNNNNNNNNNNNNNNNNNNNNNNNNNNNNNNNNNNNNNNNNNNNNNNNNNNNNNNNNNGAGAGAGAGAGAGGGGGAGAGGAGAAGGUCCCGGCCCUCCAGCUGGGCCUCCAGAAAUGACCACGACUUCAUAUGGUUCCCUCUGCCUCUUCCUCCAUUUCUCUCUCUUUUAUAGGCAGAGGCAGUUUGGGCGGGGACCAUGGGAUGGAUGGCCGGAGGGGUCGCAUCAGCCGUCCAGAAUGGGAUGGACGGUGGAAAGAGAAAGAGAGAGGGAGACACCGAAGCCCUAGGUAUGGGUCGGGGAAGAGGGGGGAGCAGGGAGUGGGGGAGUGGUUGAGUAAAUGCGCGUCCCGAUAACGGCAAAACCCUCUCUACCCACCCCCCGCGAUUUCCUGUGCGCCAUUUGUUUGUUGUUAUUAUUGCUGUUAUGAUGCCAUAAUUAUUGGGGAUUUACUAUUCCCACCGUGUAAUAUAUAUUCCGGAUAAAGUGUCGGGAAUUGGAUGCACGUGACCGCAUCCACUGAGGGGGAUUUCGACUCCAAGUAUGUUAGAUUUGAUCCGGUCCGGUUCUGGUCUUCUGGAUUAAGAUAGCCUGAUGUGGUCAAAUUCAGAUUUUGUGGGCUAAAAACAUGCUUACAGCGGAGGACAUUUUCAUUUAGGAUAGGAGUUUGUUGGAAUUAGAAGGAAGCAUGUCAAGUUCGAGCUGGAUAUAUAUUGGAUGUCAAAAUGCUACAGCUCGGCAAUUUGUCCAUUUAACUACUAUAAUGACAUGAAUUAUCUCUUAAAUUAUGCUAUCAUCUCUUUACUACUGUAGUUGGUGAAUACAGAAAGAUCACACCAAUUAUUGAUCACGUGUUUUUAAAAAAAAAAAUUUCAAGUUUACAUAUUCUAAUACUAGGGGGUGCUACAUCAUGCAUGAUGUGCUUUUAAGUUUCUUUUAUCUCUCAAUGAAGCAACAUGUCUUCGUAUGCAAUUUCAAAAUUGAAAUGUUAUUUCUAAAAUUUUUGCAAUGUAUCCAAUCGAAUAUCAUCACUCAUCACAUUAUAUCAUCAAUACGAGAAACACCAUGGUAACAAAAGAAAAAUAGUAUAUACACUUAUAAAAGUUAAAGUUCAAUCAUACUUCGUCAAAAUUUCCAUAUUUUCUUUGCAUUUGUCAAUCCUAUUAGAUAAAAAGAAAAUUUUUGAAAAAAAAAAAUCCAAUUCACCAAAUAAUUUUAUCAUAGAAUGGUCUUUAUCUCUUAUUCAAACUACAACAAUAGGCUUCAACCAUGGUUUCUUAGCGGAUCGGGUCCAAAACAGUGGACUAGCUAGCAGAUCCCAUCUAAUUAUAUAAAUUAUCACAAAUCCAUACCUUGGAAUCAUAAACUAUUAUUAAGAAUCUGCAUCAGCGUCCGUCUCUCCACAACCCUGUGUGUUUGUUUGUUUGAUGAUUUAAUCUCUCCCCUCAUACAACCAAUAAUAAAGAAAUACCAGAACAAAUAUAAACCAGAGAAACCAAAGUCUACGAAGGGAGAGAAGCCCCUCGUUUACCGCGACCUUUUUUACGCCGGCGGGGAUACCAAGACGGUCGCGACACCGACAGAUAGGCGUCAGGUCGGGUCUACGACUCUACCACCCUACGGCCAUCCAAUUCCUCGCCAAUAACUCGCGGGUGGCCACCCCCAACUUCCUCGGCCGUCCGAUCACCAUCAUCACCCCAUCUCCUCAUCCAACGACUACAUAUUUGAAAUGGACCAAAGCGAGAAAAAGCAAUGAAAACGAUGCAUAAACUGGAGCUUUAGCAAAGGGGAGACAAGUAAGCGAGAUAAUGAGAUGAGUGGUUGGGGGAGGCCACAUAUUUAAGCUAUCUCCAUGGCCUUGUAGUCCUUGUGGCUAUUCAAGGAGGACAAUAUUCUUUGUAUUCUUUUUGGCCACCUAAGUUUUCCAAUACCUUCAUGCAAGGUUUUAUGGUGGUGGCUUUUUGAAAGUUCCAAGCGUAAGUGCUUUGAUGGUGUCAAUAAGGUUGGCCGGGCUCUGUGGCAUGCUAGUGAGCAAGGCUUUUCAUUAAUGGAGCAGGUUUAAUGGGGGUGGCAUGGGGGGUGUAAAGGGUUCCAGGGGCCAUGCAGUAAGGGUAUUUAAGAAGGGGAUGCCAUGGUGGUAAGUUAAAAGGUUCCUAUCCAAAAAGAAAAGGGAUGGCAUCAUAAAAAGGUUAGGUGAUGUGUGGUCAUGAGAAAGGAUGCUAGAACUACGUGACCGCAUGGGUGAAAUGUAUGUAGUAGAAAAUAUGCAAGUAAGUAAUACAUUAAUUUCAUUGGGGGGAGGAGGACCCCAUAGGAUGAGAAACGGUCAUGUGACAUGUUUGUGUAGGGUUGCUGGCUAGUCUGGGGAAACUUGGGCCAGCUGGUAAAAUGUCUAGGGCAAGACACAUGAAACAAUAAAGUCAUUGCCCUAAUUAUGAAUUAAAUGCCAAAACUAUUUAAAGAACGUAAUUAAAAUGGCGACAUGACACAUAGGCAUUAUAAAUUCUGUGAGUACUACUUUGCAUCCCAUAAACUUUCACAUCACCCGUCCAUGAAUAAGAGUUUAAUUUGCACGCAAUUAAAUGAACAGGUGUAGGACUUAGAUCCUAUGAUCCUGCAUCAUAUAUAUAUAUAUAUAUAUUCAUUUGUAUGACUUACAGAAAGCACUAAAAAAAUAAAGGAUGGAAAUCUAACUAAUUAUUCCGUGUGACAUCAAUCUUCUACUUUCUAUGGUUCAUCAUAUAUUCUUUUUUUUUUUUUUUUUGAUAAGGUGGUCGCUCAUACAACCCUACAACUCAAAAAAUCAGAAACAAAAAUAUCUCGAAAAGAUAGAGGUAAAAGAGAAGUAUCAGUCCAAACUUUAUAAUAAUGGUGAGCAAUAAAUGAGACCAUCUAGUCCACGAUUCUGUUCACCUCAUGAUAGAUAUAGUAAAUCACAUGAGAGAUGAACUUCCAAAGUAAAUUUUGGAUGUUGCGUAGCAAGGGAUGACAAAUAGAUACACUAAAUGAAUGUGAUUGGCAUAUCACAAGUAGGUGAUAUGAUCAUCUAAGAGACCAUCAAUAUGAAUUUCGUAAUAAAAGAAGAUGAUUGCUCAUUUUUUUUAAAAAAGGUGGAUAACUACUAUAUUGCUACAUAGGAUGAUGUAAAUCAGAAGAAUUUUUUUAAUGAGUACACUUGCUAAAAUAGAUGAAUCUACAUUGUAUGACGGCCCUAAGAGGGGAGUUUUUUUUUUCCCUUCUUUCUAAACCCUUAAGCAUAUCUUGUAGUGUUAUUGCCUUUUCAAAAAUAUAAGACUCUUGUUCAAACCAUAAGCCUUGCAUCUUUUGGUAAUAUCUUAGUAUAUCAACCUCAAAUAAUUGAGGAAACAAAUUUACCGUACAAGCAUUAGCAAUUCACCAGGUCAACAACAAUUGAUUAUCCAUAACAACUCAGAAACCUAAAUAGUAACUUCUAACUAGCUCUUUUAGAUUAGGUCCUAAGCCGUUUACAACCUAUAUCAAAGCAGACAUGAGCCAUGGUCAAUGUUGACUAGGAGAUGCUAUAACAUGAACUCUUUACAAGCCAAUCAUGAUGUCUAUCAUUGGAUUUGAUUAGAUUUAGAUCCUUAUUAUGGUGAGUGUACUAGAGCUCAAACUAAAAAAGUGGUGAGGAUCCAUCUGGAUCUAAGCGUACUCUCAUAUUAGUUAUGUGUUGAAAAGAUCUUAAAUACUUAUACAAGAUUAAGAAGUCAAAAUAAUCUUAUAGCUAAAUGUUUUGGAUAAGGUCCUAGAUCAUUACAAAUAAUAUCUAAGUAGACCUAGCUUGGAUCAAGGGCAAUUGCAAUAUGGAUUCUUUUGAGACUAACUACAGACUAAUUAUGAUGAUUGUGAAUGGGAUUGGAUUGGAUUUGGAUUCUUUAGCCUCAUGAGGACAUUAUGGCUUAAAUAAAAUAUGUGAAAAUCUAUAUAAGCAUGUGUUCUAAUAUUUUUCAUCUACCUAGAAGAUCUUAAGUAUUUAUACAUAGUCAAGAAAUCUAAAUAAUAAUGUAUGGGUAGUCAAUUUUGAUGGGAUCCUAGGUCAUUACAUAAACUUUAAAAUUUUUGCCUAUAUACAUGAGAUCACUUUAAGAAAAAAGGAACAUAGUAAUAUACGGGUUGACAAAUUUACAUAUUUAUCUUGCAGUAUUCAUCUACCAUACAUAUAUAAAAAAAGUGAAGGAAGCUGAAUUAGGCUCCUCUCAACCAGGUUUUAGGUUGAUUAUUAUUAGUUUUGACUAAAUGAUGGGGUCCAACUAAUAUCGAUAAUCAAGCCAUUUGAUGGGACCUAUUACCUAUAAAAUGCAUGUACACUAAGAAACAUAUGAUUUGAAGAAGUCUAGCCUAUACAUCGACCUGUCAAAAAUAUGCAUUGCUUUAUGUUAUUUGAACUAACCACUUUGUGGGCACUCAAUGCAUAGAAAAGAAGUCUCCAAAUCAUAUGAUAUUUUUUAUGUAAGUAGCUUAGAGAUAGUGGAUAAUAUCCAAUAGCUAAAAUUAUCAGUGUGGGUCCUCAUUGUAUGAUCAAAAUUGACUAAAUCUGAUUGACCAAUUGGUCGACCUAAUUUUAGUUCACCUAUACAUAUAUAUAUAUAUAUAUAUAUAUAUAUAUAUAUGUAUAUUAUAUAUAUAUAUAUNUAUAUAUAUNNNNNNNNNNNNNNNNNNNNUAUAUAUAUAUAUAUAUAUAUAUAUAUAUAUAUAUAUAUAUAUAUAUAUAUAUAUAUAUAUAUAUAUAUAUAUAUAUAUAUAUUUAUUUAUUUAUUUAUUUAUUUAUUUUUCAGAGAAAGUCAUGUGUUAUUGAAUCUGAUGGGACAGAUUAAUACAUUUUGAGUGACAAACACAGAUGCUCAAUUGAUAUACCACAAGAUCAUUUUUCUAGUAACUAUCAUUGGCAUAAAAUUUUUGCUAGAGUAUCAGUGAAACUGUCAUUUUACUCCUAUCAGCAAGUAAUGUUUACUCCCAUAAGAUGGUAAUUCUAACUUGCUAUAAAUCUGGAAUGGUAGAAAACAUCGGAUAAUAGUUAUUAAAAAGUUCUAAUCACGUACAGAGCCACUAUAGUUGUGACACAUGCAAAUAUAAACACGCAUACAUGUAUGUCUGUGUACAUGCAUGCAUGCAUGCAUAUGCACACACAUAUGCAUGAUAUAUACCACAUUAAAUAUUUCUUUGGUUAACAUAGAAACUUGAGCCAUGUCAAUUUAUGAGAUGUUGAACGUGGUGGAGUUCAAAGAUAUACCAGCAGCAGCGAUACAAACAGUCAAGGCCACAUAUAGAUAUAGCUAGUCUAGCGGGCAAAUAGUUCUUUUGACAGGCCCAGCCCCAUCACUCACAAUUGUGAUAUAGCUCUCCUUCGGCAUGCCAAAAACCGAUGUCAAGGUCCCCAUCUCUCUACAGCACCGCUGCUCAGCAACAGGCGGAGCUUGUUAAUGCCAUCGGAAUCUCCGUUCCAAGCACUGUUUGAUGGAAUGACCAAUUAACAAACCCCGUUGCCUUCGCCCCUCCUUUGACUCCCAUGUCCCUCUCCUUCCCCGCAUGUAUGCUACGCUUUGCCCGGGAUACGUGCUGCCAUCCCCUCUCUCUCUCUCUCUCUGUGUGUAUCUAUCUAUCUAUCUGCGGUGCUUCUGGGGAGCGAGUGAGAGGACGGACGGACGAAGGAGAGAAGACGCUACGUGCUCCACUUAUCCAAGCGCGGAGCAGGCAGCAAGCAGUGGUUCUUCUCCUCGGAAACGCAGCCUCCUCUCACCCCCACCACCCUCCCAUCAAUCCAUCCAGCCAGCCACAGCAAUCACAACCCAACAACCCAACAAACACGUAAACGUCAACUCUCUUUCGCCCACCACCACACUAUACCGUUCAAAACUUGCUGCACUGGUGUAAUUUAAUAUGGCAUGUAGUAGUAUAAUAUAUGCUAUGGUACACAGUGUGUUUUGAUUAUUUGGGCCACCUCUAUUUUCCUAUUUAUGCCUCUUAAAAAACGUAACAGUGUUCAAAACAGGACGUCCUUUCUCUCUCGGUCUGUUUCUCCCCCUCUCGCCCGGAACCCCAGAACGAACCCCCACUGUUACUCUCCUAGGAAUCCGUUCCCCACCCCUCUAUAAAUAAGCUUUGUCCGUUCGCUGAUAAAAAGCUGGGGGAGUUGUUGGAAAAGAGUGGGUGCAAGGAGGCGAGCAGGCAUCACCCACCCCCUCUUUCUCUCUCUCCGUGGCCAUCUUCUUUAUGUCUUUUGGACGGACCGUGCCAGUAAAUAAAGGCUUGGCCUCGGGUUUGGGCUUGGAUGAGAGGCUUACAGAGCAUGCCUUCAUUUGGAGGAAAACUAUGGGGGGGAGAGAGAGAGAGAGAGAGGAGGGGGGGGGCUGUCCUACUGCCUGUUUGUUUGACUCGUGUCGCCUUGCUUUCCGUUCUGUUUGAGUUAGAGGGGGCUGGUCAAGUUUGAAUUUAUUUAUUUUUUAACGUGAAGUCAUGAAGGCUGGUGUUACUUUUCAUGUGGUCUUUAUAGGCAGCAGCUUUUGUAGCUUCUAGCUUUAGAUGCUGGAUCUGAUUCUAAUAAAAGUUUCUGACGUGGGAGAAUGAGGAAAAACCUGGUAUUUGGUUUUUAACCAAUCUCUCCUUGGAUCAAUUCUUGAAGGGGUUGUAUAACAACAAUAGAAAAGGUCAACAGCAAGACUACUUACUGUUUCUCCACUUAGCAAUGCCAUGCGACGACCAAGUCUGGAAAAACUUGAAAAAACUUCUCCAAUUUCAAGACCAGCGAGGUCCAAAAUAAACAUCUGAAGUACUCCAUCCGAACUAAACCAGAUGUGCAGGAUGCGUGGUUCGGCCUAGCAAUGACUAUCUCAAGUGUGGCCCACCUUCGUGACGCUUUAGCGCAAUCUCAACUUGGGGAAAAAGAAAGCAGAUGUAGAAAAGGUGCAAUCGAGGGAAAUGAACCCAAACCAGAUCACCUAGAGCUCUUAUUUGCAGUGGCAAGGAGAUAGCAUAAUGAAAACUACAUUAUCAGUGAUCCUAGCUAAAUUCAUCAGCCGGUUGGUUAGCUUCUCUAAAAACAUGGGUGACCAUGAAAAGAGUCUAAAGAAGCAGCACAUCAUGCAAUGUCUAAGAGGAUCGAGGAUAGCCGGUGCCGGCCAUUGACAACUUGUGGUGUUACUUUUCUCAAAUCAUAUCCAAUCCAAGAUUUAAGCUCGGUUAAAUCAUGGACUAACUAAGAUCAUGAUAACAAUGGCAUAUGUAAUUACAUAUACAACUAUUGCAUAUAUAAUUACAUAUACAAAUUUCUGACAUAUGGAGCUCAAUAGCAAGUCCAUGAUAUAUAUGCAUAUAAAAGCACCCUAAAUAUGGUGUGAAUCACAACAGACCACAUCAAUGCAUGAACAAUCUAAAUAGACAUAUCGAGAAGUCAUAGUGUUAGUUUUGUUGUGCGUUGCUAAUUUCUUGUCCAUGUGCAUGUUGAUCCGGCAUUACUUCACAAGUCAAUUUAACUAAUACAUUCAAGCCAUGUCUCAAUUUGGUUUUUAAUUGAGUCUCAGGCCAAGAAGUUAUAUAUAGGCCAUUUUUUUGAUGUUCGCUUGACCUAACCCACCUAAAAUAGAAGUUAGCCCAUGCAAACCAUUUGCUCGCCAAAUGUGGAAAUAACAAACGAACAAUGAAGUAUACAUGCGCAUAUUUGUAUUAUGUGGAAAAAAAAAAAUGUCAAACAAGACAAAACAGUAAUAGAGUCAACCCUUAAAGUUUAGCUCUAUAGUAAUUCUCAGAUUCAGAAAGAAACUGAUGGGAGUCAACAAAUGGAGACCCUUGGAAGGCUUCAUAGGCCCAUUAGGAUGGGGAAAGAAGUUGGAAGCAGUACAAGAGUUGUUCAACUGCUUGUUGAUUUGACAAAUCUGUAACGUAUAAAUCGAAUAUAUUGCUGUUAUAUUUAGGUUGUAGAUCUAUUGUGAUGCGAAAACCAAAUUUAAUGGGCGCGAGGAUUUUUCACCUGUCUCUUCGUGCGGCAAUGUUGACGCAUGCAUGUAGGAAUUCCAAAUAUUGCUUAUUUUCUAAUGAAAUUUCAAGUUUCAUAUGCACAAGUGAAUCCCCACAUGGUCACCAAAGCACUUCAAAAUAUAAAAGGAUAAGAUUUGAAUCGAUGAGACUUAGUAUACCACCGAAAUGCAAUAAAGAAAGGGGCCGGCUUGCGUGAAGUCCCAGAAAAGAUGAAGGAAGACCUGGAUCAUUGAAAAGUUGGACAGCGAUAUUUAACCUAAAGGGAAGUCCUCUAUGGAAAUAGAAGUUUUGAAAUAAAAGAAGGAUUUAUAAAGAAAGAAUUGAAAGAAAGAAAAAUUGGCCACGAACUGUAAUGCAUGUGAGAAGCUAAGCAAGUUAGACGAAGUCAACAAAAAUAUCCAAAAGUGACCAACGCUCGGACAUCUUCAAAUUUGACUUACAUGGUACCAGUUGACAUGCCACUUGCCUUGUGAUACCAGCUAGAGCAUCUUUAGGAUAGAAAAUAUCAUUCUUGUUGAGGGGGCUACGUUCAUAAAAAUUCUUGCAUAAGAAUUGAUGUUGAUAGAAGUCCUUGACAACACCCAUUUUAAUUUUUAUUAUACAAGAUGUCUCCUGCCUUCUAAUAUGUCUAUAAUUUUCCUUGAUUUGCUUUGCUGAAGUUGAUGAGCACGGCGCCGCUACUUUAGUAUGAUUCUUAUUCGAUACUCAUCCAUAUUGUAAUAUAUUGUGAUUAAAGCUCUCACAAAGUGCUGCAAAGGCUGUGAGGUUGUUCUUGUCGCCUUAAGUAAUAAACACUCCCUGUCAGCAAAAGACUUGCCCGAUGUUACACAACACAUUUUUAUCUAAUUGCGUGAACAUUUUAAUUUACAAUAGCCGAAGCACCUAAAAAUGACCCACUUCAAUUAAAAAAGAAAGGUUUAAUUACGCAAAAAACUCUGAAUCUGUUAAAAAUUUUUAAUUUCACUCUGAAAUUUUAUUUAGUGCAAUCCAAUCAUCGAACUUUCUAAUUUUUUUAAUUCGGAUUCUGAUUAUAAUUUCUGCCGUCCUGUCGUGACGGACUUAUAACAUAGCUUAUCUAUAUGACAAAAAUUUACUUAUGGCAAAAAAUAAUGACGAGAUAGAAUGGUGGCUUUUAUUUCUCGAAUUAGCCCCUCUUCAAUUAGGAUUUUAAUCAAUUCUGAUCCAAAGUCCUUCUCAUCUUUUUAAUACCUAAAUACCAGCGAUGAUUUUGAGAGAGAUGGUGUUUAUCUUCAACGAUGAGUAUCGAUGAUUGGUCUUCAAUGUCGAUAAUGGAGGUAAUGUUUUCAAUUUGUAUUAGAUUGUAUCCAUAGGUGUAUUAUAAUUUUAGGUAUUUUUUUUCCUAUAAUCCCUAAUGCUUACAUCAUGGAUCCCUCAGUUAAUCUAAAAAUAACGUAAGAAUUAGAAGAGGAGAUAAAGUUGCAUUAACUUUGAUCUCUACUAAUCUAAAAAUAAAAUCUCCUCUUUCUAUUCCAAGAAAGUGGAAAGGUGAGAGGAUAGGGAUCCAGAGAAAGGGAAUUAUUUUUAUCUUCUCAUUGAUAGAAACCCUAGACGGAAGAAUAUAGGAAAAAAAGGAAGAAAACUUCUAGAUUUUUUUUUUUAGAUCAGCAAAAAAAAGGCUACAUAAGUGGGUCACAUGUAUCAUAUGACAAGCUAGUUAUGAAAAGCAAACAAAAAUUAGAGUCAGGAUAAAAAUUGAAGGAAUUUAAAAGUUCAAUAAUCUAAUUGCACUAAAUAAAAAUUCAGGAUGAAAUUAAAAAUCUUCAAAAAAUUUAGGAGCAUAAUUAAGCAAAAAAAAAAAUGCAGUGUCUGUGUUCACUUGUAUAAUCCUUUCCUAGUAAUUAGAGGUAGGUACCUGAAGCAACAAAAAGGAAAAAGGUUCACUGAAGCCCAAAUGGGUUGGUAGACUUAAAUGGGCCGCAUGAGGUGGGCUCAUCCAACGUUCCAAUCGCUGACAUCCAUCUAAGCAGCGGAGUGCCAGGGACGGUCGCGCGGGCGCCACCCAACCUCACCACUUUAUUCAUUAGUGCAGACACGUAGUAAAGUGACUUAACUAAUAAUUUUGAAGUGUCCAUCCCAAAAAUAAAUAUUGUUGGUCUUUGAUUGUCCUGCACAAGCCUUGAAUCAAUAAUCAUUCGGUCUUUGUAACACAAAAUUUUGCGCAAAUUUUUGCCAAUUGACCUUCCCAGUAAGCCCGAUUGAAUGCCCCUAUAAAUACCACUAUCAUUCUCUGAGCUCGCCGGUUGAGAUCACCAUAUCAAGGUGUCAGCCGGUUCACGAAUUCUGCUUUGCUUCUCCCCUCUAUUUGUUCCCUAUGGACACUUUGUUCCCUAUUUGUUCCCCUGGCACAAAAAAUAAAUAAAUAAAUAAAUAAAUAAAAUAAAUAGAAUUAAAAAAACAAAAAAUAAAACAUUUCUGCUCAUAGGACUGAAAUCGGAUUGGAUACGAAUCUAACACCAGUAUAUUCAUAUCCAUAUUUAUUUUGUCCAACGAAUACAAAUACGGAUAUAUAUAUUAUUUAGAUGCAAAAAUUUAUAUCUAUAUUUAUUUUAAACGAAUACAGAUAUAAUUUAGAUACUGAAAAUAUACAUAUAAUUAUAGAUAUAAGUUAGAUAAUUAAACUUUAUAACUAUGUAAUCAAAGAAUUUACUAAAUAGAUGAUAAAUCAAGUCAAUAACAUAUUUAUAUGGUUGUAUGUUUUUUUAAAAAAAAUUAAUAAAUACUAUAUAAAAUUAUAUAGAAUUAUAGAUAGAUUCGAAUAUUCAUAUAUAGAUCGGAUAGUUGUCUAUCCAUAUAUAUAUAUUUUUUUUUUACGAAUAUAGAUAUUAGUCAGAUCCUUAAAUCUUUAUUCAUAUCCGAAUUAUUUCGAAUAUAAAAAUAAAUCUAGACGGAUAUUAUCCAUAAAUUUUCACACUAAUCUGCUCCUCCCUUUCUUAUUAUCGGCUUCCAUCCAUCUGCGGCUGCAUUAGCUAUUUGUGUAGCCCGAGAAUUCAUCUUAUGGAAGUUGACUUGAAAUGCAAUAUUGCAGCAAGAAGCCUUAACUUCUUUUUAAAAGAAAAAAAAAUAUUUACAAGAGACGAAAGAUGAAAAGAGCUGAUCGAUUCCAUCAGGUGAUCAAUAACAUCAAAGCCAAUUGCAUCCGCCAGCGAUGGACAACCUAUAGGAUAUCUUGACCCAUCACCGGUGGAGCUGACUCUUAUGUGGAGAGCAAUCACUACUACAUAGUUUCAUCAAGUAGCGGCAUUCAGCAACACACAAUAGAAGUAGCCUCCGCCUGGCUUGAUUCAUGCGUACAGGCCUGAUCAGCCUCUUGAAAAGAGAAGCCUCUCGAGACCCCGCACCUGCAGGGCGAAAUGUCAUAAUUGUCUCUUUUUAAUAUAUUUUUGGGUACAGCGAAGGUAAAAACAAUAGGCGAGUUUAGCAUCCAUGAUCAGAGCCUUCCAUGUUUAUUAUUAAAAUUCUUCACCUGUAAUACAUGCCAUCCACACCGUCCCGUGCUUCAUGAUGUUCUCUAAUGGCUAUUUCCCAUGGCUUUGCUUUCGCCCUUCAACUUUUCCUUCUUACAACGUUAGAUGAAGUGCAAAGGUGGAGAGGGAUUUGGGGAGCUGAGUCGCACACCCAUAAUUCACAACAGAUAAUAGAAUAUAUGGUCAGCAAAAAUAACACUUCUAAUUAUACAUCAAUUACUAGCAUACCACACAUAAAAUAUUAAUUUUCAUCAAAUGCUAACAUACCACAUAGAAUUAUUAUGUACACAAACCACCGGAGGAUUGAGAUCUGAUUUGACAUUUGAAAAGGCCAGAUAAAACUCCAAAAAUCCAGGUCUAAUAUAAAAACAACCUUGACAGCAGCUAAGCUUUGUAAAAUCUGGAAAUUAGUAGAAUAUUGAAAUAAUGGUGAUUCAGCUGAAAAAGAAAUAUUGAUACUCUGACACUAUAAUUACAAAUGUAUAGGAAUGAACUCCGCCGAGGCCAAGAAAGCAUCCCAAAAUCCUGCACGACAGAACGGACACACGGCAGGCCGCUACAAACGACAAAAGUGUUGUACGUCGAUGAAGAUAAAAAAAUCAUACGCACGAUGGUCAAGCACUCAAAAUCUACAGAGACCUCUGAAAUAACAAAGCUGGUCUGAUCCAUGUUUGAGAUAGUGAGUGCUCCGAGUAUACCACACCCACAUCUCAUACAGGUUGUUAGCAGUGGAGCUUACGGCCCUCACAUACGAUCUCUGGCAGGACGACCAAUCAGCCUGCAUUGCUCUGGAAGCAAAGAACACAAGACUUGUCCUUUUACACGAAGAAGUUCCCCAUCAAUUCCACAGCCAUUGUGAGUAUUAAUUCCAGGCCUAAGCUUCACUGAUUUCACCUGCAAGGAUUGGAUGCCAAUGGAAGUGAAGGCCAACCUUAUAAUGCUAACCAACCAUGCAAUCUAUAAUACCGCAGAAAGCAGUAAAUCAGAAGCCAUUGAAAAAAAUAAUAAUAUCAAGAACAAAUUCGAAAGAAUAUAAACAGAGCAUGCAAAAUAUGCAUAUACUGUAAUACGGACUGAAUUUCUAUCAAUCUAAUUAUGAUGCAUCCAGAAUUAAAAGGUAACCUGUAAUAUAUGGUUGCACCUAAAUGGCAAACAGCAUUUCAGUUAUUCAGCAUGAGAAAUAUUCCCUUCUCGAUUAAAGGAAAGCAGCAGGAUAGUACCUUAACAUACUCGACAUACGGCAGAGAAAGAUGCUGACCAAAUUGAAGGCGCACAAAGAAUCUUAACAACCUCAUUCUGCCACUUCCAUUGACCAAUAGCAAGUCCAAACUGUUAUCAUCGUGUUCAGCUUUUGGUGCAACAACCUGGGAACUUAAACUCUGGACAGUCUUGCAUGAAUGGUUGCAUACCAAAACGCCAAGAAAUUUCCCCUUCUUAACUACCCACUUCUCCUCCAACUUUGGAGCAAGUUCCUUCUUUAUCCCUAAUUCUACGUCAUCUGGUGGCCCAGGCAGCUCAAUGGAAUUCUCAGUUUCCCAGUUAGGUUCAGUAUCCCACUUUGGCUCAGUAUCCCAGAUAGGUCCAGGAUCAGAUACCGUUGAGGAAAUAUCUUCUUUGUCAUACAAUGCCGUGGCUGCCCAAGGACCCCUGGAAUCAUUUGUAGCAGUCAAGCCAGUCCAACCUUUAUCUGUCCGUGACUUUAACCUAGUCCUUGGCCAGUUAGGGUUGGAGGAAAGGUGAGGCUGAGGGUGAAGGACUUCAUCUGGUUCCGCCACUAAAUUGUUCCUCCCUAGGGAUAAACGCUUUGAUUUGGGAUCAAGACCACGAACAUAUUCAGAUGGCUCAUUGCUUGCAAGAGUGCUACCUGAAGUGUCGAAUUCACCCCCAGACAUCCUACUAGGAGACAUAAUUGAAUCAAUGCUGGACAAACUGGAAGCUCUGGGGAUGCCUUCAGUUUUUGACCUCCGCAUUAUGUCUGUGUAGAGGUCUGACAUAUCAAUUUUUUCUUGAUCUUCCAAAACCUUGCCUUGAGAGUCUACUGCCUCCUUCGUCAUCGGAAGAUAUUCCAACUCAAAGUUGUACUUGGGCAAGCAUAGAAAUUUAAGAAAACCAGCCACAAAGUACCGAAGAGGACCAAAACGCUUCUGAUAUUUCUCAGAGAGCUCCAGAACUGCAGCAAAGGAAUAGAAGAAAUAGUUUAAUAUCUCAUAGAUACAGAAAUGUGAUUUCCAUUGCAUCAGUGAAAAACUAUACAAAAACAUGAUCGGAGCUGCUUUUGCAAUCAGCCAUAUAAGCCAAUAUGAUUAUGCAGCUCAAAAGGUAGUGACAGAGAUAUUACACAAUCAACAGAGCUGACAAAAAGGCAAUACACAGUAGUUUCAAUAAUAAGAUUUCAGAAAUUCAAAUUAUACUGGUUGCUUUCAGCUAAAAUCCGUACAUCAUACUUGAGUAGAAACAUGAUGUCACCAAGAUUAACAAGAAAAUGAUCACCAAAAUAUGCCAUUAGACACAUCUGUUAUGGUGGAAUAUCUAUUAAUCUAGGCCUUUCAAUAAUUGAUAACUUUUUUAGCCUGCAAGAGAAUAGGAGCUGUUUCAUAUGUUGCACAGAAACCAAAAAUUCCAUUUCUCCCAUCAAGAACAGCAAAGAACAAACAGCCCCAAAGGUUGUUUAGUUGGUAAUCAGACAACUCCAUAUGUAUGGUUAAGUUAACAGAGAAAAUCAUCAUACAAAAUGAAUUUGCAACCCAGAUAAAAACCAUAAUCAGAAAGACCUAAAACUAUGGCAGGCUACAAAAACAUCAAAAUACCAUGGGGCAUGUGUUUUAUGAGGCCAAACAAAUGAGUAAACAAUAGAACAUUUAGGCUGUGUUUGGCUUCAUUGUCCCUUUUCUUUUUAAAAAAAAAAAAUCUGGAAACAAGAAUUCUAUUUCUAUUAUUUUUCAGAUUUCUAAUAACAAAAAACUUGUUUGGUUCACCUUUUUUUUACAAUGAGGGCCAGCGACGUGGCUAGCAAUGAGGGAGAGGGAGGGGGGUGGGACCAACGAUGUGGUCGAGGAUAAGGGAGAGCUUGACGUCGGGUGAAGAGGUAGUUGAGGGAGUGGCAAAGAAAUCAAGUGAAGAUGGGACCAGCAACGGCCGGGGACGAGAGAGAGCUUGGCAUCAAGCGGAGAGAUGGCCGGUCAGGCCUGGAGAGCUGGUAUGGUUAGGCAGGGGCAGCAACGCUAAGGGCAGGAUUGAAGAAGCAUUGGGAGGAGAAGGGUGAAAAUGCGCUUUUAAAAAAUUUGCCAGUAAAAGUUUUUCACUUCCUACUUUUUCCAAAAAUAAUGGAAGUUGUUUAAAAAAACAGAAAUAGAAACAGGAUAACCAAACAUGUUUUCUACACCAGAUUCCAUGUUUUUGUUUGUUUUUUUUUUUAAGAAGCAGGAAAAAAAAAUACCAAACAGACCCUAAAUAUGUGGAUGAAAAUUACUGGUAAAACAUCAACAUGCAUACAUCCACACCACAUGUGAAUUCAUCACAAAAUUGUUAUACACUCUUAAUUCAGUUGCAUAACAAAGAUCUGACUAAUAGUAACACAUAAAUCACAGAAAUAUGAAUUUGAAGCUUGUUGAUGCUGAGAAUCUUACAAACACAAGAUAACAUCCAGUACUACCAGAUACAAAGUCAUAAUCCAAGAGAACUCCAACAUGUGAAGGGCAGACCAUCUUUCGAUGAUGAUCCAUUCCAACCAAGUGAAAGACGAAAGGAAAAAGAAGCUCAAAGGAGAUGCAACAAGAGUUCAGACAGACCUGUUUUACUGUCUUGUGGAAAUAAUGGUGAUAUUCUAUGCCAUAAGAAUUGUUUUUACCUAACUACUAAGCACCUAGACAGUAUUACUGUAUCAACAAACGUCCUCUUCAUCCACCAGCAUCCUACACAUGAGCGAGUACUGAAAUCAUCAGACUUACUCAGCUUGACCAUUUAACAAGAUUUGAAGUUCAUGGCCCAGCCUUGACUCAUGGGGCAAAUAAGGAGAUCAUUCUGGCAUCUAAUCAAAAAUAAUUGGUAUACCAGGUAGGCAGGUACCAUGUAGAAGUUCAUUUCUUUGAUGUUAACUGGAUUCGGUGGGAUUCUGGGACCUGAUGUUUAAUCUGGCCCACAGCCAGAUAAAUCAAAUAAUGUGAUUCUCAUAAUUUAACUGUCAAAAUGGCGACCGUUGGAAGAAUUUCUGCAUCUCUGCAACUAAGAUGAGCAUUAUCACUUCAAAUAAACCACUUGUAUACCUAUUUCUACUAUUUCAGAUGACCAAUAUUUUACCAGAAAAGAUGCUAAUCAACAUUUGUUAUCUUCAAGAUUAAUAUAAUGCCUUCCAAUAUGCAAGCUAUCAAAUUGUAUCCAGGCAUCUAAUUUCCAUAGCUUUUGAACUUCACAUAUUUAAUUGAUGAUGGUGGCUAUCUGAGACUACCACACUGAGGAAUUUAUCCUAUGGGUGGUAGCUUGAUAAUCGAGGUGUAUUUUUCAGAAAUUGAUACUGCAAAGUUACAGCUGCAGACUAGCUUGUUAGAAGCCAUGUAAUGAAAUUAUGCAGGCAGAGACCCUUAUAUCCAUGAAAGGUUUUAUAAUGCUGCUAACAGGCAUCUUUUGAAACCAGAGUUCGGCAAGUUUCAGCAACUAACAUAUGAAGAAGAAGAAUAUGCCAUGCACCACAUCAAAUAAAGGUAGAACUGCAUGAUUAAUAACAAGAAACAAGACCAGAGGGAAACCAAAUAAAGAUAUAUCUACUAUGUUAGUCAUUUGAAUUACCAUCACUGACAAACCCAAAGUAUGUAACUGUUGUACCAAAGUGUAUAACCCCAUUCUGAAUCCAUUCAACGGCAAAAACAUCUGUACCUGUCAAGCCCCCCUGUACCCACCAACAACAACAACAAAACAUAUAAUAAAUAGCAGUAUAAGCUUCAGGCAGAGAAAAGAAAAAGAUCUACUAAAUAAAACAAACACUGAAAUGGAAAUCAAUGCAACACAAUAGAGUUUAAAACUAUUGAAGCAUCAAAGUAAAAAAAAAUAAGAAGAAGAAAAUCACUUUAGCAUAACCUUUAUGAGAGGGCCUUAUCCCAUCUAUUUGGCAUUUACAAUCCCACUUCACAAUUUACACUUAUAAAGGGUAAAGGAAUAAAUACUUGGAAAACCAAAAUUUCUUUCCCCAACCUCACCAGGCUCUUGAGAUCUCCACCUCUAUUCUACCAAACCACAAGGAUUUUUCUCUUCUCAUACAAUGCUAGAAAUGUCUUUGUUGCACGUGGCUGUGCCACAUUGACAGGCUCUCAGUUACCAAAAUCUCUAUUAGUAGAACUCCCAUGCUUCCUCGCAUAGGCUACUUUCUAAAUUCUUAGUCUAUAAUGUAAACAAGCAUCCAUCUUCGCAUUCCAUAUACACUAUGCCCAUGCACAUGAACUCUCCUACCACAGGACCCAUUUAAAUCCAUGAAACAUUGUGAGCUUUCCUGUGCAAUUAGCAUUUGACUUAUUGAAAUGCAACGACCACAUGAUACUCCAAAAGCAUAGCUCAUUCUAGUAGGUUUCAGGAGGGAAAACUCCAUUAAACAGAACAAACAAAAGGCAAAUCGUAGUUGUUACAGGUGUCCACCUAGGCACCAAGCCCUGCCCAGGUCGCCUAGGUGAGGCCUGCCUGGACAACCCAAUUUGAGGGCAGUCUCCGAACAACCCAGCCACACACCCAGGUCACCCAAUUUCAUCGGAUGCUCGCCUAGCCAGUGGGCCCAGCCUUGUGACAUGACCCAAUCCAGUUAGUGAGAGCCAGGCUCAACCCGACCGAGAGAGACCAGCUUAAAAAAAAAAAGAAAUGGGGAGAGAGAGAGAGGGAGAGAGAGAGUCGAUAUCAUUCUAUCCACUGUCCAACUGCUCUAUUCCAUUCCUCUCUCCACUCUCUACCUAGGGCAUCAACAGCGCUCCUAUUCCACUACUGCACAGUGACGGCAAUCAAAGGAGAGCAGCAGGGCAUUUGAUCAAUAGUGAUCUGCAGGGAUUUGAGGUAAAUCAAGACUUUGAGCGGCCUCGGAUAAGUCUCUCUCUCUCUCUCUCUCUCAUUCUUUCUUCCUCUUUAUUUUUUCCCGGUGAAAUGCUCUGUUAGUCAGAGCUUCUCCACUCCGUAUACAAUCUGGAUUGGGACUUAUUUUUUUAAUCUGUUGAGGGCCGGGCUCCCUGUAGGCAUUUGUUGUUGCUAAUGUUGUUGUUGUUGUUGCGAGCUUAGCCAGUUGCCUGUGGGUAGAAUUAAAUGUCAUAUUCUUUUCCACCCUCUGUUUCUCAAAAACAGAGAUCCCCCCUGAUUAAUAAUAAUUAGAGAUUCUGCCCCUCGCCUCUCUUCCUCUCUCCAAUUAAUAAUGAUUAGUGAUAAUCAGAAAAUAUAAUUGAUGUCUUAUAAGAGCAUAUUUCUUAUUUGUUUCACAAUCACACUGCUAGAUUUUGAUAAUAAAUUGUGCUGUUAUGCUUGAUGAUGAAUUGAUUUUUAUCGUGGCUUAUAUUUUUAAGUUGAGGUGGUUUGAGAAUUUAAAAAUGUGUCUGAAUCAAGUACAUAGAUUGGGGAUUUUUGGCUUCAGAAUUCCCUCUGUUUUAGAUGAGAACAUAAUUGUUUCAUUUUCCUAGUUUUUUCCUAGUAUCAUACUCUAUUUUCAUAUUUUUAUGUUAUAUUAACAUAAUAGUGUUACUAAUAUUAUCCUAAUAGUAGGUUACUAAUAGCAAGAUGCUCAUCUUUAUAGACUUUUAUUCUUUAAGUUUAGAUCAAAUAAUUUCCUCCCAGUGUAUAUUUUAAGGUUACUACUUGUAUGUUAGACAUGUUAUCUUGUCCUUUAUUGUUUACUACAUGUUUUCUUGUAUGUUAGACAUAUUUAGUUUAUGUUGAUUGAUUGAAUUCUUGUAGUGUCAUCAAUGGGAUUUGAACCCCCAUCCACAUCAAUAGAGAAUGUGUGCUCUCCCAUUUGAGCUCAAAGAACAAGUAUUAUAUACUUGUGUUCUUUAAGUUUAGAUAAAAUAUUAUUUUACUAAUUUAUUGUAUUUUAAGUAGAACUCAUGCAUUCGUUGCUAUCAAUGUAACAUUGGUUCAAAUAAUAUGGAUGGUUUUUUUUAAGAAUAGUGCAAGUUUCAAUUAACAAUUGAAAGAUAAAAUGGUACAAAUUAAAUUUUGGGCAGUCAUCUAAUUGCCUGGGUUAUUGCCUAGGCUAUAGGAAGGCCCAUCACAUUGGGUUGCCAAGGCUAUUUGAGAACUAUGGGGCAAAUGAAAACUAAUCUAAAAGGGAAAGGAAAAUAUCAUAUAAACAGGAUCGAACCAUAGGUUUGACCAGAACAUCUUCCCUCAUCUCAAAAAAUUCACCAGAAAAGCAAAUAAGUGGAUCACAAGGUCCAACAAAUCAUAUGUUGUUCAUAUGAAUUAAUGAACAUGGAAAAACAGAGUCACCAAC
rnacentral:lncRNA from 1 species